UGUGCUGUGAGAAUUGUGUGAUCUGCUUGCUGAAACAAAGAUUGCUCUUGUGCUGCUGGCAAUCCUACAGCCUGCAAGGCAGGACUGAGAGGAAGACAAGCUUUGGGUUAUCUGGCUUGAUUUGUGGGCUGGCAACAUUGUAUCUUUUGAAAGUUUAACAUGGCUCUGAUUAUGGAACCUGUCAGCAAAUGGUCUCCCAGUCAAGUAGUGGAUUGGAUGAAAGGUAAAAAAAAAAAAAAGAAAAUCAUUGAAAUGAACAUUCUAACUUAUUUAACCUUUUCAACCUUAGGGACAUGCAGUUUUAUUUUGGUCUCUGGUGGUCUCCCAGCUGCUGUCAUUAGGUUCUGCAUUUGAUUACAUUGUAGUUAUAGUGGGCAUGGAUGCCCAGUGCUGUGACUUACUUUAUAGGGGAGAUGUGAGAUUGGUCAUUGG